rnacentral:rRNA from 1 species
UACGAAGGGUGCAAGCGUUACUCGGAAUUACUGGGCGUAAAGCGUGCGUAGGUGGUUUGUUAAGUCUGCUGUGAAAGCCCUGGGCUCAACCUGGGAACUGCAGUGGAUACUGGCGGACUAGAGUGUGAUAGAGGAUGGUGGAAUUCCCGGUGUGGCGGUGAAAUGCGUAGAGAUCGGGAGGAACACCAGUGGCGAAGGCGGCCAUCUGGAUCAACACUGACGCUGAGGCACGAAAGCGUGGGGAGCAAACGGGG